CCUACGGGUGGCAGCAGUGAGGAAUAUUGGUCAAUGGACGAGAGUCUGAACCAGCCAAGUAGCGUGAAGGAUGACUGCCCUAUGGGCUGUAAACUUCUUUUAUAUGGGAAUAAAACAGGGUAUGCAUAUCUUCUUGUAUGUACCAUAUGAAUACGGAUCGGCUAACUCCGUGCCAGCAGCCGCGGUAAUACGGAGGAUCCGAGCGUUAUCCGGAUUUAUUGGGUUUAAAGGGAGCGUAGGUGGAUUGUUAAGUCAGUUGUGAAAGUUUGCGGCUCAACCGUAAAAUUGCAGUUGAAACUGGCAGUCUUGAGUACAGUAGAGGUGAGCGGAAUUCGUGGUGUAGCGGUGAAAUGCUUAGAGAUCACGAAGAACUCCAGUGGCGAAGGCGGCUCACUGGACUGCAACUGACACUGAUGCUCGAAAGUGUGGGUAUCAAACAGGAUUAGAUACCCUUGUAGUC
rnacentral:rRNA from 1 species